CCCGCGCGACUCCCUCUGUAGAAGAUG
rnacentral:piRNA from 1 species